rnacentral:rRNA from 1 species
AUACCAGCACCCCGAGUGGUCGGGACGAUUAUUGGGCCUAAAGCAUCCGUAGCCGGUUCUACAAGUCUUCCGUUAAAUCCACCUGCUUAACAGAUGGGCUGCGGAGGAUACUAUGGAGCUAGGAGGCGGGAGAGGCAAGCGGUACUUAGUGGGUAGGGGUAAAAUCCGUUGAUCCAUUGAAGACCACCAGUGGCGAAGGCGGCUUGCCAGAACGCACUCGACGGUGAGGGAUGAAAGCUGGGGGAGCAAACCGGAUUAGAUACCCGGGUAGUCCCAGCUGUAAACGAUGCAGACUCGGUGAUGAAUAGGCUUCGUGCCUAUUCAGUGCCGCAGGGAAGCCGUUAAGUCUGCCGCCUGGGGAGUACGGUCGCAAGACUGAAACUUAAAGGAAUUGACGGGG